UACGGGGGGAGCAAGCGUUGUUCGGAUUUACUGGGCGUAAAGGGCGCGUAGGCGGCCAGCACAAGUCAGUUGUGAAAUCUCCGAGCUUAACUCGGAAAGGUCAACUGAUACUGUGCGGCUAGAGUGCAGAAGGGGGCAACUGGAAUUCUUGGUGUAGCGGUGAAAUGCGUAGAUAUCAAAGGAGGAACACCUGCGGCGAAGGCGGGUUGCUGGGCUGACACUGACGCUUGGAGACGGCGAAAAGCGUGGGGAGCAACAGG
rnacentral:rRNA from 1 species